UGCCUCAAGGUCAUACCUAUUGUCAUAAUAAUAGACAAGGUUAUGUUUAGAUAGUCAAUCAAUAUUAUUCCACUAAUUACGCGUCCUAAAAAUGGCCAAACAAUCCAGCGUUAAAUCUAGACGUAAAAUAGUAACUCCUGUCUUUCAUUUACAAACUAAAGACGAAGAUGACAGUCAACUUUCAAAGGCCAUGAUUAAAAUUGUGCGAAGAACAGGACAGCUCAAUUUAUCUGGACGUAGCCUGGCUAAUGUACCUGAAAAAAUGUUCACAAUGUAUGAUCUAACCCCCGAAGACACUGCCACUUACAUUGACUUUGAUAAGAAACCUGACGAGGAGAACUGGUGGCAUUUUAAGUCGUUGACUUAUUUAGAUUUAAGCUCAAAUGUUUUACAAGAGAUCCCCGGAAAAAUUGGAAUGUUCGAAGAUCUGACCGUGCUCAAUUUGCAAGAUAACAACAUAUUAAGUUUACCACAUGAAAUUGGUAAUUUAACUAAGUUAACAAAACUAAAUCUUAGUCAUAACAAAAUUAACGCGCUGCCAAUGGAAUUUUAUAAUUUAAGUGAACUUCAAGUGCUUUCAUUAGCUCAUAAUCAGUUGGGGAAAUUGUCAAAGAGAUUUGGGGAUUUGGUGAUGUUGCAACAACUGGAUUUAUCCCAUAACGUUUUAACUAAACUACCUCCAGGGUUGGGAUUUUUGGUGCGUUUAACUGAAAUAAACCUCUCACAUAAUAAGUUAGUUGACUUACCACCUGACAUUGUUAAUUUAAGGGGUUUGCUCAAGCUUGAUGUCACUCAUAACGAUUUAGUGUGUCUCCCGAGUUUGGGUGAACUCACUAAAUUACAAUUUUUGUACGCCCAACAUAAUAACAUUGAAGAAAUCCCGGAUUUUGAAGGGAGCACCCACGUCCAACAAAUUUAUUUUGGCAACAAUUACAUCAAGGAAGUGACCCCCGAAUUUUGCGAAAAUAUGCCUAAUUUGAAGAUUCUAGAUUUAAGAGAUAAUAAAAUUGAAGCCUUACCGAACGAGAUAGCUAUGUUGCAACACAUGAUACGUUUAGACUUGACCAACAAUGAUUUAACUGAUCUUCCAAAUUCGUUGGGUUUAUUGCCUCACUUGCAAAAUUUACAACUUGAUGGUAAUAAACUGAAAAAAAUCAGGGCUGAUAUUAUUAAAGCAGGCACGUGUCGCCUACUUAAGCAUUUAAAAGAGAAGUUUGAUGGUGAGGAGCUUGAAAAUAUACAAAAAGUGUCAAAUGUUGCCAUUUAUGAACCUAAAACCUUCCCUGAUAGGUAUACUAUGAAACAUUCCCGUGCUUUGAAUUUAACAAUAAAGCAGCUAACUUCAGUACCUGAUAGUGUUUUUGAGGAAGCUAAAUUAGCAGAAGUUACAAUGAUUGAUUUGUGUAAAAACAAACUACAAACUGUCCCUGGUGGAUUAAAUUUGUUGGUUGAUAAUUUAUCCGAAUUAAAUUUAUCCAUGAAUAUGCUCACUGAAAUCCCCGAAUUUAUAAGCAGCUGUGCCAAUUUGAAAUAUUUUGAUUUGGGCAACAAUUGUUUGAGUGCUUUGCCUGAUUCUUUGGUUGAUCUAAUUGGUUUAAGAGAGCUCAUACUCAGUAGUAACAGAUUUAUUAGUAUCCCAGAGUGUGUAUAUGGUAUGGUAGGAUUGGAGAUUUUAUUGGCUAGUGAUAACAAAAUUACUGAGAUUAAUGUAGAUGGUUUGAAAAACCUCAAAAGAAUUGCGACUUUAGAUUUGACAAACAAUAAUAUCAGUCAGAUUCCGCCAGAACUAGGAAACGUGACGCAAAUCAGGUCACUUGAGUUAAAAGGCAAUUGCUUUAGACAACCCAGAUAUGCGAUUCUGGAACAAGGAACGGCCUCAAUUUUGAGUUAUUUGAGGGAUAGAAUACCAAAAUAGUGUGACUGUAAAAUUAAUGGUCGACGGUUAUGCGUAGAUCUAUGGAUGAAUUAGAUACAUUACAUUACAAAAUAUAUGCAGCGUUUACAGAGUGAUAGGAAGGCUACUAGAAUUCAUAGAGGAAGAAAUGAUUCAAAGCAGACAUGACGAAACACCAAAAAUAAAAUCAUUUCUGGAACCUUUCAAGAAAGAAAAAUACAACUGCUAUUUUUAAGGAACAAUUCCAUUUUUUGAGUAAUUUUGAUAAUUAAUAACAAGAGUAAACAUUAACAAAAUGGUCAAAAGUUGUUUCGACAGAACUUCCCUCGCCCCUGAAGUACGUACAAUGAAACUUCCAG